UAGGGAAUCUUCCGCAAUGGACGCAAGUCUGACGGAGCAACGCCGCGUGAGUGAAGAAGGAUUUCGGUUCGUAAAACUCUGUUGUUAGAGAAGAACAGCGCAUAGAGUAACUGUUAUGCGUGUAACGGUAUCUAACCAGAAAGCCACGGCUAACUACGUGCCAGCAGCCGCGGUAAUACGUAGGUGGCAAGCGUUGUCCGGAUUUAUUGGGCGUAAAGCGAGCGCAGGCGGUCAAUUAAGUCUGAUGUGAAAGCCCCCGGCUCAACCGGGGAGGGUCAUUGGAAACUGGUUGACUUGAGUGCAGAAGAGGAGAGUGGAAUUCCAUGUGUAGCGGUGAAAUGCGUAGAUAUAUGGAGGAACACCAGUGGCGAAGGCGACUCUCUGGUCUGUAACUGACGCUGAGGCUCGAAAGCGUGGGUAGCAAACAGG
rnacentral:rRNA from 1 species